rnacentral:lncRNA from 1 species
AAUUAAAUUAUUAGUGAUUGAGGUUUUGAAUUUGCUAUAGGAUUUGGCUGAAUUUUGCUUAAAAUUAUUUAAAAUUUGAUUAAAAUCUGAUUAGAAGUUUAUUGGGAUUUUAUUGGAAUUUAAUUAAAAAUUAGUUAAGAUUUAAGAUUUAGGAGUUGAUUUGGAUUUGAUUAGGAUUCUUUUAGAAUUUCAUUAGAAUUUGGUUAGGAUUUCAUUAAGAUUCUUAUAGGAUUUCUUUAGGAUUUUUUUUUAAAGUUUGGUUGAGACUUGAUUGGGAUUCUUUUAAAAUUUGAUUAGAAUUUGAUUAGAAUUUCUUUAGGAUUUUAUUAGAUUUGGAUUAAAAUUUAAUUAGAAUUUCUCUAAAAUUUUAUUAAGAUUUGGCUAGGAUUUCAUUAGAAGUUGAUGAGAUUUGAUUAGGAUUUAGUUAAGGUUUAAUUAAAGAAUAUUAAAGGCUUUUUAAGGUUUAUUUAGAAUUAAUUAGAGUGUGAUAAAAUGAAUCUAAGAUUUUUCUAAGAUUGAUAGGAUAUAUUUAGGAUAACUAGAAUUUCACUUAGA